GCUAAAAGGCUCUGUUUUACCACUUUCCUCCAAAUUCUCAAACCGACAAACCGUAACUCCUCUAAAAGGCUUGCACAACCCAGACGCCACUGCCCCGCUGCCCGCACGUAGAUCGGCGACCGCCUCACCGUUCCCGGCGCUCCGCACGCCAGAACCCAGAUCGGAGUCCAGGCCCUCCACCGUGUCACCGUGAGCUGUUGCGGAUUUGCGCCUUUGCGGCCUUGCGUUGCCCACUUUGCCGGUUUCCUUUAAGGCUUUAAUUAAGUCGAUUAGAAGGGGAUAAUCAGUGCUCGGUGCUCCACUGCUCCGUCAUCCACUCAUCCAUAUUUCGUGGCUCUGUAGAAUUUGGCCCAAGUGAGAGGUGGUGGAAGGAGAUUGAAUACUGAAAAUGAGUCUUCGUCAAAUGUUGAGCCAGCAACGUGCGAAGACCAUCAUCAUCAUCUGUUGCUGGAGGCUUACCUCCGUUAGUGAGAUCGCAUCCGGGGUCUCAGGCAUCUGAGAGGAGAGCAGGGUCUUCUACAUCUAGCUACAGGAAAGAUGAUUACAACUGGAGAUAUGAUGGUGAAGAAUUGCCAGAGGAUGUGAUGCGUGCUUCAGCUGCCCUGGAAAAUUUACAAUUGGAUAGGAAUACUCGGAAUCUAACUUCUUCAUGGAGGUCUAUCUCCCCUCCUCUCUAGUUAGAGCUAACCUUUUUUCUGGAGCAUGGUGGGGAUGGAUUCUCCGAGGAUGACGGAGUAGAUCACAUGUAACCUGUACCACUUCACUUGUGUUUAUGCUUAUCUUUGCGGUCCAUAUGCGAGUACCAUUGUGAUUAGUUUAUCGAGGUAGUGAGUUUUAUGAUCUUAUAUAUGGUGAAUCUGCAAUGUAAUUCAUUUCUUUCUAUUGUGUGUUUUUCCAAUCUAAUUCAGAAUUUGUGGCCCUCUGCCUUUGAACUUAUUGUAGCUCCUUGUCUGCGGGUUAUUUUCUUGCAAGAGUUGCUCGUGAUUAUUGUACGAAUGAUUUGAGCUUCAUCUAUUAUAUGCAUUUGAUAGGGUAUAGUCACUGAAGGCAGCUCACGAAAUAAAUUUGGGCGACCAUUUCUAAGGUCAUGCCGAAUUGCUG